rnacentral:rRNA from 1 species
GUGAGGAAUAUUGCGCAAUGGAGGCAACUCUGACGCAGCCAUGCCGCGUGCAGGAAGAAGGCGCUACGCGUUGUAAACUGCUUUUAACCGGGAAGAAACCCCAGGACGUGUCCUGGGUUGACGGUACCGGAGGAAUAAGCACCGGCUAACUUCGUGCCAGCAGCCGCGGUAAUACGAAGGGUGCAAGCGUUAUCCGGAUUCAUUGGGUUUAAAGGGUGCGUAGGCGGAGCGUUAAGUCAGUGGUGAAAUCCUGCAGCUUAACUGUAGACUUGCCAUUGAUACUGGCGCUCUUGAGUGCGCUUGAAGUGGGCGGAAUGUGUCGUGUAGCGGUGAAAUGCUUAGAUAUGGCACAGAACACCAAUUGCGAAGGCAGCUCACUAAGGCGAUACUGACGCUGAGGCACGAAAGCGUGGGGAUCGAACAGGAUUAGAAACCCUUGUAGUCC